AAUCACUAGCUAAACUACCAGC
rnacentral:piRNA from 1 species